rnacentral:rRNA from 1 species
GAUUAUGGCUCAGGAUGAACGCUAGCGACAGGCUUAACACAUGCAAGUCGAGGGGCAUCACGGGAGUAGCAAUACAACUGGUGGCGACCGGCGCACGGGUGAGUAACGCGUAUGCAACCUACCUAUCAGAGGGGAAUAACCCGGCGAAAGUCGGACUAAUACCGCAUAAAACAGGGGCACCGCAUGGUGAUAUUUGUUAAAGAAAUUCGCUGAUAGAUGGGCAUGCGUUCCAUUAGGUAGUUGGUGAGGUAACGGCUCACCAAGCCGACGAUGGAUAGGGGAACUGAGAGGUUGGUCCCCCACACUGGUACUGAGACACGGACCAGACUCCUACGGGAGGCAGCAGUGAGGAAUAUUGGUCAAUGGGCGGGAGCCUGAACCAGCCAAGUCGCGUGAAGGAAAGACGGCCCUAUGGGUUGUAAACUGCUUUUGUAUGGGAGCAAUAAGGGCUACGUGUAGUCCGAUGAGAGUACCAUACGAAUAAGCACCGGCUAACUCCGUGCCAGCAGCGGC